rnacentral:rRNA from 1 species
GGGAGGGACUUGUCCUGCCAGCGCGGCGGGUGGAUGUAGGAUCUGCUUUGUGGGACACAUUCGAAGGAUCUAUCCGAUCGCCCUCGGGGGAAGCAGGGAUCUUCGACCUUGCGCUAUGAUAGCCUAGUAGAUAGCUAGUUGGUGGGGUAAGGCUCCAAGGCGACGAUCUGAGCGGGUCUGAAAAGGAUGAAUCCGCACACUGGGACUGAACACGGCCAGACUCUACGGGAGGAGCAGUGGGGAUAUUGACAAUGGCGAAAGCCUGAUCAUGCUGCUUCGUGUGUAAGAAGGCUUUGGUUGUAGCACUUUAACCAAGAGGAGGCUCUGGAUAAUCUCUUGAUAGUGACGUCUCGAGAUAAGACCGCUACUCUGGCACAGCGGGUAUCAAGGGUCAGCGUAUCGAUACUGGCGAAGGGCUAGCGGUUUAGCGAUGAAUCCUGGCUACUAGAAUGAUCAUCUGAACUAGAUGGAAGUGUAAAUCAGGGUCGGAAUCUUAAUUG